UACGAAGGGGGCUAGCGUUGUUCGGAAUUACUGGGCGUAAAGCGCGCGCAGGCGGUUUCUCAAGUCAGUGGUGAAAGCCCGGAGCUCAACUCCGGAACUGCCAUUGAAACUGUGAAACUUGAGGACGAGAGAGGUGAGUGGAAUUCCCAGUGUAGAGGUGAAAUUCGUAGAUAUUAGGAAGAACACCAGUGGCGAAGGCGGCUCACUGGUCCGGUACUGACGCUGAUGUGCGAAAGCGUGGGGAGCAAACAGG
rnacentral:rRNA from 1 species